AAGAAUCAGAGAACUCAUCCUAUCUGAUUUCAAGUCUUGCUACAGACCUAAAGUAAUCAAGACAGUGGGACACAAGGAGGAGGUGUAGUGUUUACUCCUGAGCAUGAAGCAGCUCUAGGUGUUAGUUUCUGCAACUGCCUUUUGCCACUGAUGACUGUUCUUCUCUUCCUUUGGGGAGUAAGAGGGAGAGGAUGCAGUCUGAGUACU